rnacentral:rRNA from 1 species
GAUGAACGCUGGCGGCAUGCCUAAUACAUGCAAGUCGAACGAGAGGAAGGAAAGCUUGCUUUUCUGAAUCUAGUGGCGAACGGGUGAGUAACACGUAGGUAACCUGCCCAUGUGCCCGGGAUAACUUCUGGAAACGGAUGCUAAAACCGGAUAGGUAGCAGACAAGCAUCUGACUGCUAUUAAAGUGGCUAAGGCCAUGAACAUGGAUGGACCUGCGGUGCAUUAGCUAGUUGGUGAGGUAACGGCCCACCAAGGCGACGAUGCAUAGCCGGCCUGAGAGGGCGGACGGACACAUUGGGACUGAGACACGGCCCAAACUCCUACGGGAGGCAGCAGUAGGGAAUUUUCGUCAAUGGGGGGAACCCUGAACGAGCAAUGCCGCGUGAGUGAGGAAGGUCUUCGGAUCGUAAAGCUCUGUUGAAAGAGAAAAACGACAUUCAUAGGGAAUGAUGAGUGAGUGAUGGUAUCUUACCAGAAAGUCACGGCUAACUACGUGCCAGCCGCCGCAGUAACAC